GAUGAACGCUGGCGGCGUGCCUAAUACAUGCAAGUCGAGCGAACAGACGAGGAGCUUGCUCCUCUGACGUUAGCGGCGGACGGGUGAGUAACACGUGGAUAACCUACCUAUAAGACUGGGAUAACUUCGGGAAACCGGAGCUAAUACCGGAUAAUAUAUUGAACCGCAUGGUUCAAUAGUGAAAGACGGUUUUGCUGUCACUUAUAGAUGGAUCCGCGCCGCAUUAGCUAGUUGGUAAGGUAACGGCUUACCAAGGCAACGAUGCGUAGCCGACCUGAGAGGGGGAUGGCCCCACCAGAAAGUGAACAGCGGCACAGCACCUGAGGGAGGGCCGAGGCGGGGAAGUUUCGCAAAAGGGGGAAAGCUUGACGGAGGAGCGCCGGGGGGAGGAAGAAGGGCUGCGGGCGGGAAAACUGUUUUUUGGGGGAAAAACAAAUGGGAAAGUAACGAAGCCUGUUUGACGGUAACCAAAAAAGAAGCCCCGGCUAAACAAGUG
rnacentral:rRNA from 1 species